rfam:Stegodyphus mimosarum contig64875, whole genome shotgun sequence.
GCCUUCGUGGUGUAGUGGUCAGCAUACUGGACGCGUAACCGAGAGGUCCGUGGUUCGAUUCCCGGCGAAGGCG